rnacentral:rRNA from 1 species
GGAUGAACGCUAGCGAUAGGCUUAACACAUGCAAGUCGAACGCUUUUGUUUUCACCGGAGCUUGCUCCACCGAAAACAAAAGAGUGGCGGACGGGUGAGUAACACGUGGGUAACCUGCCCUCAAGCGGGGGAUAACAUCCGGAAACGGGUGCUAAUACCGCAUAGUUUUCUUGAUCGCAUGAUUGAGAAAGGAAGACGGCCUUUGUGCUGUCGCUUAUGGAUGGACCCGCGGCGUAUUAGUUAGUUGGUGAGGUAACGGCUCACCAAGACGAUGAUACGUAGCCGACCUGAGAGGGUGAUCGGCCACAUUGGGACUGAGACACGGCCCAAACUCCUACGGGAGCCAGCAGUGGGGAAUAUUGCACAAUGGGGGAAACCCUGAUGCAGCAACGCCGC